CGUAUGCGGCCUCAUCUCGUUGUUGGAGGACGAAUAGCACGACGACGGUUGAAACUAAAAUAACCUCGAAAAAGCGGCGACAUUUUGUUGUUUCCCUCCGAACAAGUGUUUCUAAUGAGUCGACGGACUGUGUGCUGAUGGUUCCCAGCGGGCUGCAGUAAGCUUCCAGUGGUUGUAAUGGCGGAUAAAGACGCCUGCAGGGAGUACCUCUCCUCUCUGGAGGACCUGACGUUCAACAGCAAGCCGCACAUCAACAUGCUCACCAUCCUGGCCGAGGAGAACCUGCACUUCGCCAAGGAAAUCGUGGCUAUUAUUGAAGCGCAAAUCAGCAAGUGUAAUUUCUUGGUCCGGUGUCCAGUGUGUGAUAAACGGUGUUAGCAGCUGCUCGCUAUGACAGCACAGUUUAAACUCACUAAAUGCUCACUGCUCCCUGAAGGGCUUUUUUCAAACAACCCUGCGAAGGGUUAAAACUUAACGAGGAUAAAACUCACCGUGUGUGAGAGUAAAGAGCGUCUGGGUAAAGUACAAAGAGCGGUUUGAAGAGCGCUCUUUGGAGGUAAACCGCUCACGAACACUUUUUGUUUUUACCCACGUGAACCUGACUGAAGAAUUUUCUGAACGUUUUUUGGAUUUUAUCUGAAAGGACUUCCUGCAUUUUGGUUCCUGACGAAGACUCUCUGGACUGCUGAUGUUUUUCCUCCUCACUGACUUUAUUUUUCUACAUUUUUAUAUUUUCCUCCACGCAGCGAGUUGUGAUUUGUUGUGAAAUGUUUUGCUUUUUAACCCCUUGUUGUUCUCUAAACUUGUCGAGUUCUCUAUUGCUCCAGGCCCCGUCCGCCGAGAAGCUUCCCGUUUUGUACUUAGUGGAUUCCAUAGUGAAGAAUGUUGGAGGAGAGUACCUUGCAGUGUUUGCUAAAAACCUAAUCACUUCAUUUAUAUGUGUCUUUGAAAAGGUACAGUUCUCUUUGCUGCUGUUUCAAAUCACACAUUCACAUGAAAUCUGUUUAUUGUUGCUUCUUGUUUCCUCUCCUGCCCUCUGCGUAUUAAAGGGGCCAUUCACCCCAACAUUAAAAAAAACUUUUACCUGAUUAAAAAUUGGAUGUUUUUCUUCAGUCGGUUGCAAAGUGUGGGCUUUUCCUCAAAUAUAACCCCCCCCCCCCCCCAAUAUCUAAGAAUCAUGACUCAUUUAAGAUAAACCAGUUUCUUGUAGGGUCUAUUUUCUCUCUCUGUGCAAAAGGAAACGUGCAUUAACACAGAUGUGAAACACAAACACAUUUCUGCUUAACACAAACCUUUUUAAAAUGUGUUUUCAAUUAUUUACUGCAGAGGAAUCAGAAACCUCUCCAACGUCCACCAGUAAAUGUAGAAGAAUAAAAAAGCUUAUUAAAUGAGAGGAUUGUUUUUGAAUGUUGGGGUGAAUUGUCUAUAUAACGCCUUGCUAAUAAAACGGAGGGUUAAUGUUUCUUGUCAUAUAUAAUGGAGCUAAGUGAGUGUUGGUGUGUGUUGCCCGGUGUGUGUGUUGGCGCUGGCCCACUGUGUGCUGUGUCUGCAGGUGGAUGAGAACACCAGGAAGAGCCUCUUCAAGCUGCGCUCCACCUGGGAGGACGUGUUUCCUCUGAAGAAGCUCUACGCCCUCGACGUCAGGGUGAACAGCGUCGAUCCCGCCUGGCCAAUCAAAUCCCUGCCGCCCUCCGUCAGCAACGCCUCCAUACACGUCAACCCCAAGUUCCUCAAGCAGGUGUGUAUCACACACACGCACUUAACCACAAGUUAUAGGAGCAGGUAUGUUUAUUUUUUCUUGCACACACAAACUUAAGAACAAGUUAUUUUAGCACGUGU